GCCUGUUUCCAAAAAAACAAAAAGAUGACGCAUAUUAGGGUGAAAGAAAGAUUCUUCAAAUAACCCCCAAUAAGAUGCUGACAAUGGGCAGAAAAAGAUGUACAAAAAGAAAACCACAAGGCGGCUGGGCGUGGUGGCUCACACUUGUAAUCCCAGCACUUUGAUAUGGGUGGGUCACCUGAGGUCAGGAGUUCAAGGCCAACAUGGCAAAACCCUGUCUCUAAUAAAAAUACAAAAUUUAGCCAGGCAUGAUGGCACACGCCUGUAAUCCUAGCUACCUGGAAGACUGAAGCAGGAGAAUCACUUGAACCCAGGAGGCAGAGGUUGUAGGUAGUGAGCUGAGAUCACACCACUACACUCCAGCCUGGGAGACAGAGUGAGACUCCAUCUCAAAAAGAAAAGACCAGAAGGAGGCAUACUAAAAUGGUGACAGUGGUUGCCUCUGAGUGUUUCCUUACUACUAAUCUGUAAAUGUUUUUUUAGCCCAUGUUUCCUAUGGUGAGACAGUAUUAUUUUUCUAAGGAGUAGGGGACAGGAGGGGAACAAAGUCAAUAAUAACUAUACCUAAUAUUAAAAAAACCCAAAUCUGUUAGAUUGAACAUGAUGUCUAGGCAAGAAAUACAAAAUGAAAACCCAAAUCUGAAGCUAAAGCAAGAGCAGUCCAGUGUGUGGCUGUCCCAGGCCAAGCCUUCUGCAGAGAUUUAAGCUGCUCAUGUGUUUAUCACACUCAAGGUAAGGUGAUGGACCUGGGGGACAGAGUUGGUGUCUCUGAGACUACAUGGCCAGCACAGGCAGAUUCAAGACAACUCUGCAGAAGAGUGAAGGAGAGAGAAGGCAAGUGGGGAGCUCAGCAUGUUCAUUCAUUCAUUCAUUUCCCUACUACCUCCCUGAGGUCUUGGGGGCCCAGCCUUACUUACCUUGUGAUGCACCAGAAGGUGGUCCUGGACAGGAAGGAGGCACUGGACUCUGGGCAAGGAUUCUAGGGGAAAGAAAGAACAGGUUAGGGAGGAAGAGGGAAAGGAAAGAUUCAACUUUUCAUCCAGGCCAGAGCUUGGCAAGGAGUAGUCAGCUGCCCAUUUUUUCUUCAAGAGGACCAGUGUUCACUCCAUACCAUUCUGCACCCCGAAAGGAUUCUCUCCUAAGCCCCAGGAGAAAGAAACUCAUAGCAGCUCCUCUCAUUUCACUCAACAGUGUCUACCAGGCACAACCACAAUAUAACAAGCUAUCAACCUCUGCCUCAUCUUCUAUCCCUGCAGCAACCCUAGGAGCUGGUGUUACCAUCAUCCCCACUUCACUCAUUCAACAAAUAUUUUCCGAGCACCUACUAUGUGCUAGGUACUCUACAAGGUAUUACCGGGUUACCUUAGAUCCCCACGACAACCUCAUAAGCUGGUAGGUAUUACUAUUGUCCCCACUUUCCUCAUUCAGGCAUUGAAUAUUUAUUGACCAUCUACUAUGAGCUCGACACGCUACCAAGAACUUAUACACUUGCAUUAUUUUAUGUCCUCAUGGAAUUCUAUAAACAUGGUAUUACUAUUAACUCCAUUUUAUUCAUUAAUCCAACAGAUAUUUCCUGAGCACCAUCCACGUACCAAGCAGCCUACAUACAAAUCUAAACAGAAAUGGCCCCUGCCUGUAAGGAGCUUGUGGUCCACCGCAGUAAUCAUCAGUAAUAUCUGCCAAGAUGCUCUACUAAUAGCUAGCUCUCUACGUGCUUUACACAAAUUACCCUGUUUAAUCUUCAUCCCCACCUCACAAGGAAGGAAGAAUGCAGAUGUGAGAAUGCUGAUAGGGUGUAUCACCAGGCAGCAUCACUGUUAAAAGAGACAGUCUUGCUCUGUCGCCCAGGCUGGAAUGCAGUGGCAUGAUCUCGGCUCACUGCAAUCUCCACCUCUCAUGUUCAAGCGAUUCUCCUGCCUCAGCCUCCCUAGUAGUAGCUGGGACUGCAGGUACGUGCAACACGCCCAGCUAGUUUUUGUAUUUUUAAUAGAGAAGGGAUUUCACUAUGUUGGCCAGGAUGGUCUCAAUCUCUUGACCUCAUGAUCCACCCACCUUGGCCUCCCAAACUGCUAAGAUUAUAGGCACGAGCCACCGUGCCUUGCCUGAGCCACCCCACCCAGCCUAAAAAUUAAAAUGGCAUUUAAAAAGUUUCAAGUCUAUAUACAAAGUGAGAAACACUAUUCCAGGGAUUGUUGUCCUGGGUAUGAGCAUUAUAGACAAUUUACAUUUUCUUCCUUUUGCUUAUUUUCUCUCAAAUAUUCUAAAUGCAUUGCUGGUUUUUUUUUUUUUUUUUUACUUUUUAUUUUGAGACAGAGUUUUGCUCUGUUGCCCAGGCUGGAGUGCAGUGGUGUGAUCUCAGCUCACUGCAACCUCUGCAUCCUAGGUUCAAACAAUUUUCAUGCCUCAGCCUCCCAGGUGGCUGAGACUACAGGUGCACACCCCACCACGCCUGGCUAAGUUUUGCAUUUUUGGUAGAGAUGAGGUUUCACCACGUUGGCCAGGCUGGUUCCGAACUCCUGA